rnacentral:rRNA from 1 species
GAUGAACGCUAGCGGCAGGCUUAAUACAUGCAAGUCGAGGGGCAGCACAGGUAGCAAUACUGGGUGGCGACCGGCAAACGGGUGCGGAACACGUACACAACUUACCUUAGAGUGGGGGAUAGCCCAGGGAAACUUGGAUUAAUACCCCAUAAAACAGGGGGCCCGCAUGGGCAUAUUGUUAAAGAUUUAUCGCUUUAAGAUGGGUGUGCGUAUGAUUAGGUAGUUGGUAGGGUAAAGGCCUACCAAGCCGACGAUCAUUAACUGGUGUGAGAGCACGACCAGUCACACGGGCACUGAGCCACGGGCCCGACUCCUACGGGAGGCAGCAGUAAGGAAUAUUGGUCAAUGGACGGAAGCCUGAACCAGCCAUGCCGCGUGAAGGAUGAAGGUCUUCUGUAUUGUAAACUUCUUUUAUAGGGGGCGAAAAAGGGCCAUUCUUGGUCGACUGACGGUACCCUAUGAAUAAGCACCGGCUAACUCCGUGCCAGCAGCCGCGGUAAUAC